CAAGAGCAAAGACUGAGAAGAGAAGAUCUUCAAGAGAUCGAAGAAAAAUACAAAACAAAAUACAAAACAGAACAAGAGAACUGGGAGACAAAGAUACGAGAGCAAAGACUGAGAAGAGAAAAAGAACUUCAAGAGAUCGAAGAAAAAUUCAAAACAGAACAAGUGAACUGGGAGACAAAGAUACAAGAGCAAAGACUGAGAAGAGAAGAAGAACUUCAAGAGAUUGAAGAACAAUACAAAACAAUAAUGAAAACAGAACAAGAGAACUGGGAGACAAAGAUACAAGAUCAAAGACUAAGAAGAGAAGAAGAUCUUCAAGAGAUCGAAUUAAAAUACAAAACAACAAUGAAAACAGAACAAGAGAACUGGGAGACAAAGAUACGAGAGCAAAGACUGAGAAGAGAAAAAGAACUUCAAGAGAUCGAAGAAAAAUUCAAAACAGAACAAGUGAACUGGGAGACAAAGAUACAAGAGCAAAGACUGAGAAGAGAAGAAGAUCUUCGAGAGAUUGAAGAACAAUACAAAACAAAAAUUAAAACAGAACAAAACUGGGAGACAAAGAUACAAGAGCAAAGACAGAGAAGAGAAGAAGAACUUCGUGAGAUUGAAGUACAAUACAAAACAGAACAAGUGAACUGGGAAACAAAGAUACAAAAGCAAAGACUGAGAAGAGAAGAAGAACUUCUAGAGAUUGAAGUACAAUACAAAACAGAACAAGAGAACUGGGAGACAAAGAUACAAGAGCAAAGACUGAGAAGAGAAGAAGACUUUGAGAAAAGGAUGGAGAAAGAACAAAAAAUGUGGGAUGAAUAUUAUCAGAGUCUUAAAAAAGAGAGAGAUGAAUUUAAAAAACAGACAGAAAGAUUAGAAAGAGAGAAAGGAUGUCUUCAGGUCAAACAUGAAUCAGAAAUAGAAAAGAUGAGCAUGAUGAUGGAGGAAGAAAGACAGAAUCACAACACAGAGAGGAGGAGGAGAGAGGAAGCAUUUACUGAAAAUGAAAAACAAUACAGAAAUAAGAUAAAAGAAAAAGAGGAGCAAAUGCAGAAAUGUCAUGAGGAAAUGCUAAAACAAAUGCAAGACAAUGAGAGGAGGAAGAGGGAGGAAGAAAAACAAGAUUGGAUAAAACAACAUGAGAUACUCACAAAAGAAAUCCAGCAUGAAAAAUCUCUGACAGAACAGCAAUGUAAAAUGUAUGAAGACAAAAUUAAGUUAAUAGAACAGCAGAAGCAAGAGGAACUAAUGAGACUACAACCAGUGGACUGUGAAGAAGAGAGACAAAAAGACGUGGAGAGCAUGAAAAUGUGCUGCUCCCAAACCGCCUCUUCUCUAAAGAGAGAUGAAACUGUCCAAAACCAAAAGCUUGGACCAAAAAACAAUGAACAGCUCAACAAACUUUACCAUAGACUAGAUCUGACAAAAAGGCAUCAAAAUAAAAUGAGAACAGAAGACAUUCUUGAAAUCAAGUCUACACUUCAGUCCCAGGAGCCACAGGAAGAGAAUGAACUGGUAAACUCAUUUCUACACAAGCUGAUGAACCUGGACUACAGAGCAAGAUACACUGUCAUAAAACACAGGAAGAAAGACAGUGAGGAAGACAGUGCAAAUUACAGUCCUGAUAUUCACCCGAU
rnacentral:lncRNA from 1 species